CACGUAGGGCGCAAGCGUUGUCCGGAAUUAUUGGGCGUAAAGAGCUCGUAGGCGGUCUGUUACGUCUGCUGUGAAAACCCGGGGCUUAACCCUGGGCUUGCAGUGGAUACGGGCAGACUAGAGGCAGGUAGGGGAGAAUGGAAUUCCCGGUGUAGCGGUGAAAUGCGCAGAUAUCGGGAGGAACACCGGUGGCGAAGGCGGGUCUCUGGGCCGAAAUUGACGCUGAGGAGCGAAAGCGUGGGGAGCGAACAGG
rnacentral:rRNA from 1 species